UUCCUGGAAAAGGACAGCUGAGAGGGUGAAACUCCCGUCCGCCUGGUAGAAUGAGUCUUUGUCAACGAGUCGAGUUGUUUGGGAUUGCAGCUCUAAUUUGGUGGUAAAUUCCAUCUAAAGCUAAAUAUUGGUGGGAGACCGAUAGCGUACAAGUACCGUGAGGGAAAGAUGCAAAGAACUUUGAAAAGAGAGUUAAAGAGUACCUGAAAUUGCUGAAACGGAAGCGAAGGAAACCAGUGUUUGUUGGUCCAUAUUUCCCUGGCCACUUGUGGUUUGGGCG
rnacentral:rRNA from 1 species